AGGUAGAUAAAAUAGAGGUAGAUAAAAAAUCGAAAGAGUAUAAUGAUACAACAGUUAGAACUAAUAAUGAAUAUAAUAAUAAACGAGUCAGACAACCUGAUAGUAUUGAAAAGGUUGAUAUAACAGAAAAGGAAAAAAAUGAACAAGAAUAUGACAAAAACAAUGAAGGACUAAUAGAAUUGAUUAAUAUAUGGAAAAAAUAUUUUGACAAUGAUACAAAUAAUUAUUUUAUUAUUAUUUUAAAAACAAUGAAUAAACAUGAUGUAUUAAAUUUUAAUCUUAUGAUAUCAUAUUUAAAAAAAAAAAAGAAAUAAUAUGUUAGAAGAAUUUAUUGAAUAUCUUAACAAUUUUAUUUAUAAUUUAAGAUUUUUUUCUUUUCGUAUAUGGAAUACAUUUAUAUUUGAUUUUUUAAUAGAUCUAUCAAAAGAGUAUAAAACGCAAAUAAAUUUCGAAAAUGUUUUAUUUUUAUUAAAUAGGUGUUACAAAAUUUAUUUAAUGAAUGCUAGUGAUGCUACUACUACUACUACUACUACUACUACUACUGCUACUACUACUACUACUACUACUACUACUACUACUGCUACUGCUACUGCUACUGCUACUGCUACUGCUACUACUGCUACUACUGCUACUACUGCUACUACCGCUAUACCCGAACCGAAUCAAAUACAAAAACAACUGCUCCUACUCGACAGCAAAAUAAAAGAAGACAUUUAUAUUGACAGUAUAUUAACAAAAGAAGAUUUAAUAUAUGAAAAAAGAACAUGUCCCAAUGGAGUAUUAAAAAGUAUUAUGUUAAAAUUAUAUAAUAUAAUAUAUAACUUAUUAGAUACUAUAGACGAAUUAGAUGAAUGUUUUGUACAAAAAAUGGAAUAUAUAAUUUAUAAUUUUAACAGUCCUUUAUGUUUUAUAUAUAUAAUAAUAAAUAUUUUAUUAAAAAAAAAAAAAAACAUAAAUGAAUUUAUUGAUACUUUAAAAAAUAGAAUAUGUUUUUUUUUCGAAAAUGUGGAAACUAUUGUAAAAAAUAAUAACUUUUUUUUUUGUAAUAUUUUGAUUACUUUUAUAUUUCUAAUUAACCAUUUUCAAAAAACAGAUACUUCGUUUAUAAAUAUUGCGGGUCAGAAAUUGAAAAUAAUUUAUGACGAUUUAUGUCGAAAUGAGCAACACAUUGUUAAUACUGACCCAGACACAAGUACAGACACAAACGUAAACACAAGUACCGACACAAACGUAAACACAAGUACCAACACCAAUAGUAACUGUAUGAUUAUGAUAAAAAAUUGUAUCUAUCUGACCCAGUGUGUUUUUUUAAUAGACAAAGGUAUAUGUAACAGAACUGAACUAUUUUUUAAUAUUGAAAAAGAUUUAAAAAAUAACAAAAUAUCAAUGAAUAU
rnacentral:lncRNA from 1 species